rnacentral:rRNA from 1 species
CGGGGGGGGCAAGCGUUGUUCGGAAUUACUGGGCGUAAAGGGCUCGUAGGCGGCCAACUAAGUCGGACGUGAAAUCCCCAGGCUCAACCUGGGAACUGCGUCCGAUACUGGAUGGCUUGAAUUCGGGAGAGGGAUGCAGAAUUCCAGGUGUAGCGGUGAAAUGCGUAGAUAUCUGGAGGAAUACCGGUGGCGAAGGCGGCAUCCUGGACCGACAUUGACGCUGAUGAGCGAAAGCUAGGGGAGCAAACGGGAUUAGAUACCCCGGUAGUCCUAGCCCUAAACGAUGAAUGCUUGGUGUGGCGGGUAUCGAUCCCUGCCGUGCCGAAGCUAACGCAUUAAGCAUUCCGCCUGGGGAGUACGGUCGCAAGGCUG